AUUCUACUCCCUCCGUUGCACAAUACAUGCCUUCUAUUUGUCAAAAUAUAUAUGUAUCUAGACAUGUCUUAGUAUAUAGGUACAUCCAUUUUUGGACAAAUGGAAGUCAAGUAUUUUGGAAUGGAGGGAGUACAAA
rfam:Triticum aestivum genome assembly, contig: Triticum_aestivum_CS42_TGACv1_scaffold_378882_5AL